GGGAAGGCAGGGCGAAGAGGCGCCGGAGCAAUGGCCGAUCGCAGCGCCAGGAGGGCUCCGAGAGCGGAUCUCGCCCCUUUCCCCUUGGAAGAAAAUUACCAUGAACUGAAUGGCUUGAUCCAAUAGACACCUGUUCUCUCACAGUCCUGGAGGCUAGAAGGUUGAAGACAAGGUACUGGCAAGCAUCAUCACCCCAAUCUCUGCCUCUGCUAUCUCAUGAUUGUCUUCCCCCUGUGAGUACAUGUGUAUAUCCAAAUCUCCUCCUAAGAGGACAACCAUCGCUGGAUUUAGGGCUCAUCUUCAUCUGAUCACAGCAGCAAGUAAGGAGGCAGAUGCAAUGUCUGGAGACGUAUCAGUGCUAUUAUGACUGGGAAAAUGAAAGACAUAUGCUGAGAAGAGUGAAGAAAGAAGAUAGGAUUCUUGGUGAUGUCAUUGAGUCAUACAAAAACUGGACUGGAGGAGUCCUUAUUAAAUGAAAGAAGAGAGAAAAAAAAAAUACUGGACUUCUUUAAACUCUUGUAGGGUUCUCUAUUACAUGGAACACAAACCUGA